rnacentral:lncRNA from 1 species
AACAUGCUGAAACCCCGUCUUUAUUAAAAAUACAAAAAUUAGCCGGUUAUGGUGGCAAGCGCUUGUAAUCCCAGCUACUUGGGAGACUGAGGCAGGAGAAUCACUUGAACUGGGGAAGCGGUGGUUGCAGUGAGCCGAGAUUGCCACUGCACUCCAGCCUGGGCAACAGAGCGAGACCCCAUCUCCAAAAAAAAAAAAAAAAAGUAUGUCCCUUUUCCCAGUUUGUUCUAUGUAUAUUGUUUAUACAUAUAACAAGUAUUUUCCCUUUUCCAAGUUUGUUCUAUGUAUAUUGCAUAUUUUGAGGCUGGUCUCCAACUCCUGACCUCAGGUGAUCAGCCUGCCUCAGCCUCCCAAAGUGCUAGGAUUACAGGCCUGAGCCAUUGCCCUCAGCCUGUCUGAAACCCCGUCUUUAUUAAAAAUACAAAAAUUAGCCGGUUAUGGUGGCAAGCGCUUGUAAUCCCAGCUACUUGGGAGACUGAGGCAGGAGAAUCACUUGAACUGGGGAAGCGGUGGUUGCAGUGAGCCGAGAUUGCCACUGCACUCCAGCCUGGGCAACAGAGCGAGACCCCAUCUCCAAAAAAAAAAAAAAAAAGUAUGUCCCUU